rnacentral:rRNA from 1 species
UCGGGAAUUUUGGGCAAUGGGCGAAAGCCUGACCCAGCAACGCCGCGUGAGGGAUGAAGUAUUUCGGUAUGUAAACCUCGAAAGAAUGGGAAGAAUAAAUGACGGUACCAUUUAUAAGCUCCGGCUAACUACGCGCCAGCAGCCGCGGUAAUACGUAGGGAGCAAGCGUUGUUCGGAUUUACUGGGCGUAAAGGGCGCGUAGGCGGCGCGGUAAGUCACUUGUGAAAUCUCUGAGCUUAACUCAGAACGGCCAAGUGAUACUGCUGUGCUAGAGUGCGGAAGAGGCAACCGGAAUUCUUGGUGUAGCGGUGAAAUGCGUAGAUAUCAAGAGGAACACCUGAGGCGAAGGCGGGUUGCUGGGCCGACACUGACGCUGAUGCGCGAAAGCCAGGGGAGCAAACG